CAACCCACCGAGAUUCAAAACACCGGUAACUCGGCCCCCCUUUCCUCCGCCUGCCGAUCGUCGCGCCGGUAAAACCGCUCCUCGCCACUCGCCAUUCCGACGGUGCUCGCGCUCUGUUCUCGCCUCCCCUCGCGCCGCCAUCUCCUCCCCCUCACGCUUGCCCCGCCGCCGCUCUGGCCUCCCCAUAAGCCGCUACCGAGGACGCGGUCACCUUCACCCUCCACGACCCGCGCCCGAUCCCCCUCGAUCCCCGCCCCAGGCAGGCGCCAGCCCAUCGGCAUUGCGUGCCGGCCGCCUCAGCCAGAUCUGGGGCGCCGCCUCGGCCGCAAUAUCCCGCCGCCCCCACGCCUAGCGGUUCCGGCGCCGGAUGCCAACUUGGCGCCCAGAAGCCGUCCAGUGCGACGUACGCCGCCGCGGGGACUCCGGGGACGCGGUCAUGGCGCGGUGGCUGCAGUCUGUGCGGCUGCAGCACCUCGCGGCGUCCUCGGCCGCGGGCGGGGUCGGGACAGGCGGCUUCUGCGGCGGCGGCCUCGCAUAUCCUCCUCGACGAGAACCUCACGCCCAAGCUCUCCGACUUCGGGCUCGCGCAGCUCAGCCAAGCGGGCGGCAACAUGCCGGUGGCCUCGCCCAUGAUGGGCUCCUUCUGUACAACUGGAGCGGGCAGGCCACCGUGAAGUCCGAUGUGCACAGCUUCUGGGUGGUGCUCCUGCAGCUUAUCUCCGGGAGGAGGCCGUCGACACCAGCAAGCUUGUGACCAAGCAGAACGUGGUCACCUUGUUUGCUGAUAUUUUCCAACUUUCUUUUCCGCCGACGGAGAACAUUAGGAUGCCAUUACGCCACCAACCAAGGGACUAAAGUUAUCCUCUAUCUUUUCUCAUUGUGCUCCAUGCCUCCCGUUCCACGGGAGCUGCUUUGGAUUGAGCCUGUUUAUGGUGUUAAAGUUGUAGGUCUUACUUUUACGAUAAAUUUCAAUUCACCGGAUCUCUCAACCGUGAAGACGUGAAGAAAAUAUGAGGAGAAAAUGUCCCCUGUGGAUAUCAUUCCCAGAAUAUGAACAGGUCAAAUGGCUCAACAAACAAUUGAUCAAGCUUUGGCCCUUUGUUGAAACGGGAUACUUCCAUGUUAAGAUACAGGCAGAUCUGACCAAUUUGCUAUUUCAAUUGGCCAUUUUCCUGUCAAGAACUGUCAUGAUUUGCAUCUGAUUACAGGCAACAACCAUGGCAUCAGGGAUUCUGUGGAACCACUACUUGAUGAAUAUCAACCGCCAGGGAUAUCCUCACUAAAGUUCAGCAGACUCUCCCUUGGGACUGUUCCAUCAGAAAUAGAAGGCAUUUGGAUUCAGAGUUUUAAGAAAGGGCUAGACAGCAAGUCGCUGCAGGUAAUUUACCUUUCAGGGAAACAGCCAUUUACAUUGAGAAAUUAUAUAUUGGUAACCAAACAGAGGGCUUAACUUUAGUAACUCAGGAAUUUGGAUCGUGAUGAACACAUUCUCCAGGCAGCUUAGUUUAAUUCAUACGGAAUACAAAACAUAGAUUGGGAUGAAGUCCAGCUAAUCCCUGCCGAUAUAGGGGUAUUUCCGCGUCAGUAUGAUAGGGUGAUAUCUGAUAUAGAGUUCUCAUGUGGCCCUAACAAAGUAUAGCUGAAUAUGCUAAUAUUACCUGUAACCCAGGCAGCUGACUGAUUUGCCGUAUUCAUUUGCUCCAACCUUGGACUCCAUGAAUAUAAAUUCAAGUUCUGAAGUUUGAAUUUAAUUUGUACGGAACUUGUAACUGUGUUUGGAAAUAAUUCCGGAUUAUCCCUACCGAUAUAGAAGUAUUUAUGCAUCUAUUUUGAUA